GGACACCAAAAGACAAGGAUUGCUCCAUUGUUCCAUCUUUGGACACAGUAUCGUGGUGAGGCUGAGUGUAAUAACCAUCUCUCAGACUCAAUGAUUCAAUCUUUUGGCUCAAAUUCUGAGACUUGUCCAGAAGAUCAGGAGUCUGAAGAACAAUGUUUGUAUUGAAGUUCUCAUUGGAGAAGCCUUCUCUCCCUUUGAACUCAUCAGUAUACUUGCUUGGUGAUCUGCAAGAAACAGAUAAGGAGAAAAUUUUCUCAUAAUUAUGGAGGCUCUCAAACUGCAACUUUUCGUGAUUUUUAUGCUGCUCAAAUGACAAUUUUCUAUUGCAACCACCAGCUGCUUCCUCUGCAAGUCGGCCCCUUCUCUGAUCUCCAUUGGAUGACCAUAAGCAUUUUCGUGGUUGGGUAAAUAAAUCCUUUGGAUGUCCUGCAAGAGAAACUGGAGAGAAACGAUGACCCUUGAGACAUUCCACCUCCUGGAUGAUCACUUUGACCCCCAUUACUAUCUCCAGAUAAUCCUAUGACGUCUCUUCUUACACCUGAUGGGAAAGGUGUCUGAGCUUCUCCACAUAUGCCUUCUUCCCAUGCCAUAGUUCUGACACUGCUUUGCUUUUCAAGGUCUUCCAGUAUCUGAGUAGCGCGCUCAAAGGAUUUACCAUAUGAUUCAUCCAUUUGCUCAUUAAUGCAUGAAGCUCUUACAGAUUGAAGCAAAAAUUUAGCUUCUGCAGUCUUGUUUAAGUAUAUCAAGCAAAUUGCCAGGUUGCACUGCUUGUUCUUAUCGGGUUCAAGUGAAAGUGCUUUUCUGGGAACAAAGAAUUAACUUGUUAGAAACAAGCUAAACUAGACACGUGUUAUUUGCAUGUACAUGUGUGUACUCAAUGCAAGAAAACGUACCUAUAACUCUCUUCUGCAGAUUUAUAAUCCUCUAGCUGCAAUUGCCCCCAAGCCAAGUUACCUAACAAUCUGUUCAGAAGUUUCCAAAUUCCAGGAAUCAGUCAUAUAUAUCUCUGAAGGUAAAUGAAAAUGCCCGACCAACACACACAUCUUAGUCACAAGAAAAAAGGGAAAAGAACAUAUGCCUAAUCAAACUGGCAGUACAACUCAAGCUUGGAAGAUGUACACUGCCAAAAAAAGCAAAAAAGGUCCUGUUGAUCAAGCAAGUGUCAACGACACUUUCCACCUUAGGUGAAAUAACAGAUGGUCAGUUCUCUAUUUCCCUUCUCCUCAUUAGAUCCAUUCCAUUCCUUUUUUUUUUCUUUUUCUUCAUUCCAUUUCAAGUUAAACCUAAAAGUGAAGAUAUUGAAAAAAGCUACUCAAGGACAUUUAAGCAAUUUAUAGAUCCAUACAAACUCUCCAGAAGUAGGACUCAUGAUCUUUUUAUGACCUUAUCCUGAAUGUCAUGUAAACAAACGUAGUUGGAGCCAAAAGCAGUAGAUUCAGUGCACAAACAAUUCGAUGUAAAGAACCUUCUCUAGUUUCUCUGCAAAUAUUGGUUGAUAGAAGAGAAUAUAGGGAAAGAGAAAAGCAAUGAAAGAAGGGACAGAAAUCUUAUAUUUGGUUUCAUCUCACCUUGUAAAGUUCGAUCAACACAUUAUCAAGAGAUUC